rnacentral:tRNA from 1 species
GUAGAUAUAGUUUAACGUAAAACAUUAGAUUGUGGUUCUAAAAUUGAAGGUUAAAAUCCUCCUAUCCACC